UGUGCUUUUGUCCUAAUAACUUUGUUUAAUCACUAUUGCAUAUGCUUGCAUUAAAUUUGUUGGGUCCUAUUAAGGUUUGCCUAGUUUUUGUGAUUAUUCCUUACCAACCUGGGUUUACCUUUCUGUUGGGUAGCUAUGCUUAGCUGCUAUACUUGGGUUAUGGUGGUUCUAAUGAACAAAGAUGAUGAACUUAUUUUAUUUAUGCUACACCUUCCUUUAAUACAAGAUCACUAUGAUUAAUUGGAACAUGGAGAACCACCCAGGAAAACAGUGCUACCACAAGACUAAAUGGCUCUGGUCUUGGCUGAUUAAUUAGAAACCUUAGUCUGGGGUGACCUUACUCGUGAUGAGGCAAGAGGGGGGACUGAGUCGUUGCAUUUUACCUGGGAUGGGUGGUGCACGCCAGACACCGAAACCUUAGCGGGUUACCACUGACUAAUGAAUCUUUGUAAAGGCCUCGUAGCGUCCCUAUGCAAUCACACCUCGGAAGUGUGGUAUUGUGCCUGAUCAGCACAAGCGUGGUUGGGUCUAAAGUUCUUUUGAGCUUUUACGCGACUUGUGGGUAAAGAUGUGCGACCUCUGCAGAGUGUAAAACUGAUCGAUCAGCCGUGCUCACGGUUAAGAGCGGCCUGGACCCUCACAUGAGUAAUAUACUUGAAGAUGGAUUUAAAUUGUGGUUUAUGCUAUGGUUAUGGUUGUGCCAUAUGCUUAUGGCUUAUAUUUAUGUUUAUAUUAAUUGUGGGUUGGUAUAUACUUAUACCUUAGUAAUCAGGUGCUAAUAAAAUUUGGCCAACUAAAAAUGCUUAAUGCAGUAAACCGGUCAGCCUUUCCUUGUUUAAGCCUUGCAUUCAUAUUCUCCUUACACUUGCUGAGUACGAAAAGUGCUCACCCUUGCUAUAAACAACGUUGCUCAGAAGAAGCAGCUGCUAUGAAGUUGUUGUGAAGAUGGUGCUGAGUCCUAGGCGUACGCAACCCCCAGUCGAUUGCCUGUGAAGUUUGGAGCCUCCGUCUCCAGCAUUUAAGCUGUGUAUCUCUGAUGGUUUCGUAAGUCUUUAUUUGUAUCUUUUUACGUGAUACUGUUGCUGUUAUUCACUUAUGAUGUCACUAUAUGUAUGAAACUUGAUCCUGGCAUACAUAUAGAUAGCAUUCGGUUUUGCCUUUAAAACCGGGUGUGACAGAAGUGGUAUCAGAGCCAGGUUCGACUGUAGGACGUAAGCCUAGAUAGCAAUGGUCACUUCCUAAGGUCUGUUUUACUAUAUAAACAAUUCCUGCCUUAUCCUUGACCUUUCUAAAAAAUAUUCUCACUCCUUGAUCAUUUUCUUUUCCCAAUCCUCCUUGAUAACUUGAGCUCUUUUCAUUUGCACUUCUUGUGUUGUAAAUGUUAGACCCUCAAUCCUUGUCUAUUUAUUUCCUCUCUCCUUGAUCACUGCUUGAUCUUGAUCAUGCAUCUCCUUCUUGAUGAAUGAUCUUACCUGUUUGAUGCAAUACACCUCCUUGAUUUCUUAGCGAUAUUGCUACUCUCUCAUCCCCUGUUCAUUUAUCUCCUUGAUGUUUUCCUUACUUAUCUUUGUAAACCUAUCCCUUCCUUAAAUUUAUUUUUAGUAUAUCCAUCUUCCUUGAUGCUUUUCAAAUAGAUGCUACCUUGGAAUCUUUUCCUUGACUUUUGAUUCCAAAAAGUCUCGUUUUAUUCAAAAAUAUCUAGAUGAUCCGUGCCACCUAUCCUAAAGCCUGUCCAAGUCAUCUGAAGAAUGGGCUACCACUCAAGAAAACAAGCUUAGUAGCAGGAGAGCCAUGCCACCCUCACCGCAACUAUGAUCGAGAAGGAAAAUUCUACACUGUAGAAGCUGAAGGAUACCCACACCAAGCAUGUUGAAGCCUUACCAAACAACACCUGUUUAGGAAGUACCCCCUUGCAGUCUUACUAACAACGUUUAGCAUCGUUUCUUGACUCUGUGUUGACUGGUGGAAUUUUGUGUUUGCAUGAUGAUGCUUGUCUUUAUGAAAUUGUCUGAUUUGUUUCUUUGUAAUGAUUGUUGGUGUAUUGUGGGUCUUCUACCUACAAUGACAUCAGUUGCCUAGCUGGGUUCUUCUUUUGAAUCUCCCAUAUCCUUGUCAUCCAUUCCUUUCUACCCGAGCCAAUGAAGGACAUCAGAAAAGAGGGAACUAAAGUCAACACCAACGUCAACAAGCAGGAGUUAACAUCACCACCACCGUCUCGCUAUAAGCUAGUUGAAGAAUAGAGAGCUUUACUCUGAUCUCCAUCUUACUCUAAGGAUGAUUACAAGAACCAAAGAAGAUGAAGAAAGCAGGGAGAUUCUACUCGCGACAAGAAAAGAUGAAAGACUAUCCACUCUACCAUAAGGAACUUGUUGUCUCCCACCUCUUUGUUUUCUUUUCUCUCUUCGAACCUACUUGUACCUCCCACAUCCUUGUUAUUUUUCUUUCUAUCUUCCAAUUCUGAUGAACAUCAAGAAAGAAAGUGAAGGCAACACCAAUGUCAACAAGCAGAGGCUAUCGCCACCAUCACCGUCGGAAUAGAAGCAAGUCGAAGAAAAGAAGGCCCUACCCUAGUUUACUUGCGACCUUGCUGCUUUCUAUCCUUCCUUCUACCUUACUCGGAUGACGACCCAAGAAAAGACGAAGAUAUCAUGAAGUGCUCUACCUUGUUCUGCAAUUUUAUCCAUUUCCUAUUUUCUUCUGAUCCUAUCUUUAUCACACAACCAAAUGGCGAGUCCCAAUGAAAAUCAUGAAGAUAGAGCCAAUGAGGGAGAUCUUAACAUUCCACCUGUAGCCGCAACAUUCAAACGCAAGAUGUUAGAGUAUAUGGCAACACAAACUCAGGUUCUACAAGCAAUGUCUCAAACUAUGGUCAAUAUCCCUUAGUAUAUCACAGAGCAAGCCUCACUUCCUCGGAACCACAACCCUAUCACCAGUGAUGACCAUCACGUUUCGUUUGCUCCACCACCGUUCGACAAAGAGAAGCUAUUAGCCAUGCAGGCUCAAGUCUUACAAGGAAGGAUGCAGACUACCACAUCAUUCCCUCAUAACAUGGAGAUGACCAAGGCUAGGUUCCCACUGGACCAGUGAAGAGGCAAGUUGCUGAAGCCUGGAACCGUCAAAGGAACAAGAGAAGCCGUGGAGCGUUGGAGCUGGAAAUGGAGAGACAAUAUGAAGAUGUUAAGAUUCCAGGAACACCAUCCUCUUCCAUGUCUCUAGAAAGAAGAUAGCCUAAUGACAGCUAAAGCUAGACAACAUCAUCAUCAAUAAGACGAGGAAGUUGUAUGCCCAAGGGCCAUCCCUAGAGGGAGUUACCCAAGAUGAAGAUAGUACUCAGACUAUGAACCUUGAGGGUUGGAGUAUCUCUUUCAAAGAAUUUCAGCCCUGUAGGAGUAGGCGAGCCAAGAAGCCAACUAGUAAAGAAAGUCAAGAGAAGAUGGAGUUACCACAACUAUUGGCAUAUAACAGUACUCAGCCUAGUUCCCACUAACCACAACCUAAAGUUGUUCACUAUCCACAUGGAAACCCAUCAAGAAGAAUCCUGAUGCACAAGCUAUUCCACAGAUAGCUACCAUGGAGCAGAAAGGAAGAUGAGAAGGAUGUAAGACUGUGCUGCAGAUGCGGUGAAGAAUGCCUUUAUACCAAUAAUUGUCCAAUAAAGCGUAAGUGGACCAGGUCCACUGGAACCAAAUUGUAUUACCUCAGGUAUGGAGAAAACGAACAUCUUGUUAGUUGGUGUGCAAAAGAGAAAGAUGAUCAACCCUAGGGCCAAGGACCCAAAAGCCCUACAUUCAGGCAGACGUCAUCAGUUGGCCUCUUUGUCAGGACAAAUAAUUAGGAUGCCUCAGUCAAGAAAGAAUGCCACCAAUUUCCAAUGCCCAAUUCCCAUACCACAUCUAGUUGCCAAAGUACCAAAGCAAGAAUAACAUGUUUCUACCGCAAAUAAGAGAGACAUUUCAUCAGACAAUGUUCCAAGAAGCGUUUGGACCAGAUGGAGAAGAAGACUAAAGGAUGUGUAUGAAGACUUGAAGGGUGACAGUCGAGCUGGAGGGAAGCAAUCCAGCUCUAUUCAAAUCACUUUACCAAGAAAUGAAGAAAAUUCUUCAAAGAUGGGCCAAAGAAGCAGAGGGAAGGAAAGGAUACUUAAAAGAGGAAAUAGACUGAGUAUCCCUGAAGUGUUCUAUGUGAUGUAGUGAAGCAUAAAGAAGCAUGAUUGAGAAGCUUACGUAAGGAUGAACGAUCUGGGAAGAAGCUAAUAAGUGUUGGAUGCUACCCACCUAAACCUUUUGUCUCUUGCUAGCCUUUGCGAAUCUCGGGACGAGAUUCUUGUUAAGGGGGGUAGUGUUGUCACACCCUGAAAUUUCCGAAUUUCAGGAUGUGAAUAAAAAGAAUAAAUAAACAAUAAUUUUCUCAUAGUUUUAAAAUUUUCCCAACAUUUAAUUUUCUUUUACAGGAAAUUUAGUAUAGGAAAAAUAAUUGUUUGCUUUUAUAAAUUAAUAAUGUUGUUCUAUGUUUGUGCAUUCAUGUCGCUGCAUCUUGGUGUUUUUUGAGUGCAAAAGUUUGAAAAAUGCGUUUAGACGUUGUCCAGACCCUUGUGAGAAUUUUCCAUCUUUUUCCGGAAAUUAUUUUCCUUUUCCUAGAGCUAAAUCCAAUUUUUGGAAGGCUUUAGAAUCCUUUUCACGAGCUCCAAGUAUUUUAUUUGGAUUCUUUGUGUCCCAAUCCAUCUCUGAGAUUUAUCUCAGAUUUUUCGGAAUUUUCUAGGUAUUUUUCUCGCUUUAGAAAACGAGUCCAGCUAUUUCUGAAAUUGUUUUCGCGCAGAUAAAUAAAAUCAGAAAUUCCGAAAAUAUAUAUCACCGCGUGCGUCUCGACGCGAGGAUUUCAGAUCUGCAAACCUUUUCACGAGUUGCAUCUCCUAGCUCCGUAGAUCUGAAGUCAAAGUUCGGUCUUCGUCAAACUCCGGCGAGCUUUUCCGGCGAAACCGUGGACUUCCGACGAAAACCGACACCACCAUGGAGUUCCUCUCUUCGAGCUCUACGCCAUGGUGUGGUGGAUUGCAUGAAUCCGAUGUCGGCUCCGUCGUCUUCCCCAACUCCGGCGAGCUUUUCCACCGCCAUUGUUCAUCUCUGGCCGAAGGUGAGCACACCAUCUUGUUCGUCUCGUCGAUAUCGUUCCAUUUUGCCAUUCAUGCGCGAGAUCGGACUUUGUUUUCGGCUUUCCCAUCUUCCUCUCUCUUUCUUCUUUCUUCUGUUCCUGUGCACAACCGUAACAGACCGAGCUUCUGGUUCUGUUGCUGCCGCGCGCCGCCUGCAGCUGCCCGCCGCCGCCUGCAGCUGCCCGCCGCCGCUACCGCGUGCUGCACGCUUAGCGCCGUCGCCCCCCCUGCCUGACCUCGGCCCCGGCCGUCGCGCCGGCAGAACCGGCCUGGAACACGGCGGCUGACCAGGAGCUGCGCCAUGCUCCUGGCGUGAGAAGAAGAUGAAGUGUUGUUUUUCGGUUUAGCCCCUGGAGAACUUUGUAAUUUUUCCUCUUUCCUUUGUGUCUUGGCAAACUAGCAGAUAACCCCCUGGAUCUAUUAGUUUCCUUGAAUCCAGUCCAGCCCCUGCGGUUUUGCAAAUCUAACCCUGUCCUUUAACCUUUUCGCGAGCACUAUUCCUUGUGUCUUGCCCAUUUUCCUUGCUAACCCUCCAAGUCUACGGUUAAUUACGUUUAGACCCCUGCAACGUUGUUUAACCCAUAGAUUCUACGUUUUAGCUCCGUUUUAAUCCGUUCAAGUUGCGUUAGAUGCAUAAUGAUGUAAAUUACACGUUAGUGGUAAUGUUUUCCUUCACACAUGUUUUUGAAAAUAAAAUUUAUAUUAAAUUGAUUAAUGCCUGACAAACGAGUUCUUCUCUAAAUAAAAUCUAUUUAGUGUUAAACAUCGUUUUUCAUAAUAAUUGUUAAUUUGAUUAAUGCCUACUUCAUACCCUCUUCUAAAUAAAAGCCAAUUAGGUUAUAUAUCGGUUUUUCAUAAACUAAAGUUAAUUGGAUUAAUGCCUAUCUAAAUAAUUCUUCCAAUUAAAAGCCACUUAGAGUUAUACCUCGGCGUUUCAUAAAUUAAAUUCAAUUUGAUUAAUGUUUAUUCAAUUUGUUUUCUAAAUAAAAUCUGUAUAGGUUAUAUCUCGAGUUUCCAUAAUUAAAUAUUAAUUUGGCUAAUAUAAAUAUGAAUGUGUUUUUAAUUUAAUCUACUUAGUUGAACUCGAGAUGUAAAGCUAUACGCUUAGAUGUCUACAUGUAUCUUUUUUUUUAAAUUAAAUGUUUAAUUUGCAUAAAUGGUACUCAAAUAUUUAUAAAUAAAAUUGGAGUAAGCUUUACAUCGUCUUUUCUUAUGAAAAUAUAGAUAUGACUUGAUUAAUUCUAACUCAGGAUAUUUCUCUGAAAUAUCUUUACAUUGCUUUUCUCAACUAAAAUAAAUAAAGCUUGUACCUCUUAUCUUUCUUUUAUAAUUCAAAUCUUUCGAUAGUUUGUUUUGUCAACCAUAGUUCCGUUUUAAGCGUUUCCUGCGUUCGCGUAAUCAUAGAAUCGAGCCCUAUCUUUUAGUACGCUCUUUUAAAGCUUUUCCAUUGAUUUGGUGUAUUGUUCUUAGUUGUACUUGUUGUUCGCUUGUAUGUUUGUACCGGUGUUUGCUUCGAGUAGAAGGAUCGCCGUUCGGAAGCUCUGAAGAGUACGAGUUUCAAGUGAGCAAGAGCCGAAGAGCAGUAAGAAGUAACUUGUCGCUGGAGAAAGGCAAGUGUGUCCUUGUGCUUUUGUCCUAAUAACUUUGUUUAAUCACUAUUGCAUAUGCUUGCAUUAAAUUUGUUGGGUCCUAUUAAGGUUUGCCUAGUUUUUGUGAUUAUUCCUUACCAACCUGGGUUUACCUUUCUGUUGGGUAGCUAUGCUUAGCUGCUAUACUUGGGUUAUGGUGGUUCUAAUGAACAAAGAUGAUGAACUUAUUUUAUUUAUGCUACACCUUCCUUUAAUACAAGAUCACUAUGAUUAAUUGGAACAUGGAGAACCACCCAGGAAAACAGUGCUACCACAAGACUAAAUGGCUCUGGUCUUGGCUGAUUAAUUAGAAACCUUAGUCUGGGGUGACCUUACUCGUGAUGAGGCAAGAGGGGGGACUGAGUCGUUGCAUUUUACCUGGGAUGGGUGGUGCACGCCAGACACCGAAACCUUAGCGGGUUACCACUGACUAAUGAAUCUUUGUAAAGGCCUCGUAGCGUCCCUAUGCAAUCACACCUCGGAAGUGUGGUAUUGUGCCUGAUCAGCACAAGCGUGGUUGGGUCUAAAGUUCUUUUGAGCUUUUACGCGACUUGUGGGUAAAGAUGUGCGACCUCUGCAGAGUGUAAAACUGAUCGAUCAGCCGUGCUCACGGUUAAGAGCGGCCUGGACCCUCACAUGAGUAAUAUACUUGAAGAUGGAUUUAAAUUGUGGUUUAUGCUAUGGUUAUGGUUGUGCCAUAUGCUUAUGGCUUAUAUUUAUGUUUAUAUUAAUUGUGGGUUGGUAUAUACUUAUACCUUAGUAAUCAGGUGCUAAUAAAAUUUGGCCAACUAAAAAUGCUUAAUGCAGUAAACCGGUCAGCCUUUCCUUGUUUAAGCCUUGCAUUCAUAUUCUCCUUACACUUGCUGAGUACGAAAAGUGCUCACCCUUGCUAUAAACAACGUUGCUCAGAAGAAGCAGCUGCUAUGAAGUUGUUGUGAAGAUGGUGCUGAGUCCUAGGCGUACGCAACCCCCAGUCGAUUGCCUGUGAAGUUUG
rnacentral:lncRNA from 1 species